rnacentral:lncRNA from 1 species
GCAUACCAACACACUGAGACAGUGUUACAGUCGACACAUCUGUUCAACCAAGGCAAAAGCAGCAAUUCAGAGACAUACCUAACUAAAGGAAACUGCAUUUUUAUUAUCCCCCUAGAACCCAGCUGGCAGAGGGGUCUGGGGAAUGCACUAUUCUGAAUCCCCACCUCUGCACCCUACAGAAAAAGAGGAGAGUGAGUUUAAGAAUAAGAAACACUUACUUAAAAUGCAAACCAACUUGCCACAGUCCUGACCUACUCGCUCCAAUUUCUGAAUGUCAAACACUUAGAGCAAUUGUUGGCUGUCAGAGUAUGAAGUCUGUGGAAGCAGAGAAACUGGACAUUUGGCAUUUCAGCAUUCUGAAAGGCAGCAGCAACCAGGCAGCCAGAGACAAAUGUGGAAACCACAGGAGAGAACAAGAAGAACAGGACAACCUCCUCCAACUGAUAGAAAGUGACUCAGCUGGAAGAGACAUUGCAAACAUCAAGAGAUAGAGAGGUCAGUCCAUCUAAAACAUCAGUAUGAAAGAAGCUGAAGUAGCAGAAACUGACAUAGGAGAAGCAGACAGACCCACACCAUAGCAUGGAGUAUGGACUCUAUUCUAUGUAAAAUAGGACUCUAUUCUAUGUACAAUUUUUUUUGAACACCAAUAAAAAAUAAAUUUAUUAUAAAAAACACUUUUGAAUAAAUAACAACAAAAAGAAUCACCAAAUUACAAAGUCAUUGCAACAAAUACACCUAAAGAAACACAGCGGAACACUCCCAAUGAAAAAUGACCAAAGUGAAAAGAAAUAAACCACACAACUCUAAUUAAAACAAUUAUAAAAAUAAAGAAAAAAAUUAAAAUGACUUUCCAGGGAGGUGAAGCAGGACGCUAGUGCCGGGCGGCCAGAGGUGGCCAGAGAUCCACACCCUCGAGCCAUAAUCGUGAGCGAUUGUACGAGGGCCACGAAGGGGUCGGCCAGAGACCCCCGGAAAUGUAAGAAUUGUAAGCAGGAAAGAUAAAUAAUUCAUUUGCUAUUUAAAAUACCAUGCUGGUUGCCUUGUGGAAAAUGGAUGAGGGGAGGGCUAAAGCAAAAACAGAAAGAUGAUUUAGGAGGUUCUUGAAGUGAAAAAUGAUGGAGACUUAGCUAAACAUAGCAGUAACAGAGAUUGAAAGGUGUGAAGAGAUCUGUAGCAUGUGACUGGAGAAAGUACAGAUAGGAGCUUUUGAUGGUGGAUGUGGAUGGUGAAUAAAGCAUGACUCCAGGUUUCUAGUUGGAGUGACUCUGGACAGCAGAUGAGAAGAGGAGCCAACCAGGAAGAGGUUUCAAGUACGCAAAUGGAUAUGUAGAUCUGGAGCUCAGAGAGAUCUAGCUGACGAUGUAAAAUAUGGGAGUUAUCAACACAUAGAUGGUAUUUAAAAUCACAGAAAUAAUAAGAUAACCUAGAGCACCUGGGUGGCUCAGUCAGUUAAGUGUCAGACUCUUGGUUUCAGCUCAGGUUGUGAUCUCAAGGUUGUGAGAUGGAGCCUGCAUUAGGCUUCCUGCUCAGCGGGGAAUCUGAUUCUCUCCCUCUUCCUCUGCCCCUCCCCCACUUGCUCAGUCUCUCUCUCUCUCUCCCUCUCUCAAAUAAAUAAAUAAAUCUUAAAAAAAAAAAGAAAUAAGAUAAACUAGAGAGAAAGUUUAGAGAAAGGAAUGUGAGAGCUCAAAACUUACUCUUGAAGAACUGCAACACUUACAGUUAAGGACAAAGUACAAAGGAAGCCAGUAAGGAAAAAGGAGAGCCAGGAGGGUGUUUGAAAAAGGAAGAAGGGGCCAACUGUGUUAAUGGUGUUAAAGAAGUGGAACAAGAUGAGAGCAAAGUGUCCAUCAGCAUCAGGGAGAUGGCUGGUGACCUUGAUAAAAGCAGUAUCUGUAGAAUAGUAGAACUAGCAGCAGGUGAAGUGGUUUUAGGAGUGGAUAAAAGGUGAGAACGUGAAGUGAGGGAUGUAAAAUACUUGCAUGCAGAAAUGGAGAAAAGAAAGGGGAUAGCGGCUAGAAGGGAUGUGAGAUGUGAGGCCAGGAAAGGGUUUUCUUCCUUUUUUUUUUUUUUUUUUUGCUUGUUUGUUUCCUUAAGAUGGACACGUACAUGCCAUAAAAACUAAAAUUCAGUGAUUAAAGCACACUUGACAUGCUCCUGCUCUAGGCCAAUGGUUUUCAAACCACUUUCAACAGAAGGCUGGAUUUCUGGGACAGUGCCUUCCUUAUGUCUGCUCCAAGAAGCAAGGCAGUCCUCCCUCCCUAACAAUAAAAGUAAUGCAAAUUUAAUUCAUUUUAUAUCUGGGGAUUUAGAAUAAGAUGUCAUUUGAAAAAUCACUGAUCUAAGGAGAGCAUAGGGCAGCCAAAAUAUUUACCAUUUUGGCCUAUUAAUAACAGAAUACCUGAUGAAUCUGUAGAUGGUAUAUACUCUUAAUUAUGUCACAAAAUAGUUCUUCAGGCAAAACAUGAUGAUAAAUUGUAGCUGUAGCAAAGUCUCAGGAUGCUAAACAAGUUUGUCAUUGUUUCACAGUCUCUUAGCAAUGAUAAAUUAAGUAGCUUCUUUUUACUAAACUCUUUAGGAACUUCAGAAUACUCAAACCUUGAUUUUCAAUAAUUUUAAUUAAUAUAUCCCACAGUCAAUAGGUUUAAUAAACUUGAG